GCGGGUGUAGUUCAAUGGCAGAACUCCAGCCUUCCAAGCUGGUCGUGUGGGUUCGAUUCCCAUCACCCGCUCCA
rnacentral:tRNA from 2 species